AUCCUGCUGACGAGUCCCAAAUGAGUCGAAACGUGAGUCCUGGAU
rnacentral:hammerhead_ribozyme from 1 species